AUUGCAGCUGCCUCAUCCAAGAUACCAAUAGCUACAACCAUUCCCAGCCACGCUUGGUUAAUUAGCAUUGCAAGGAUCCUUCUGCACCCCCUUGGCAAAUUAAUUAAUUUGGCUAUGAAAGGACACAAACUUUUCUUCUGGUAAACAUCCAAGCUGUUUCAUGCCCAGAUAGACACUCAGAUCAAACUCUUCCUUGAAAAGAUCCAGAAAACCAAAAGA
rnacentral:lncRNA from 1 species